rnacentral:rRNA from 1 species
GACGAACGCUGGCGGCGUGCCUAAUACAUGCAAGUAGAACGCUGAAGAGAGGAGCUUGCUCUUCUUGGAUGAGUUGCGAACGGGUGAGUAACGCGUAGGUAACCUGCCUUGUAGCGGGGGAUAACUAUUGGAAACGAUAGCUAAUACCGCAUAACAAUGGAUGACCCAUGUCAUUUAUUUGAAAGGGGCAACUGCUCCACUACAAGAUGGACCUGCGUUGUAUUAGCUAGUAGGUGAGGUAACGGCUCACCUAGGCGACGAUACAUAGCCGACCUGAGAGGGUGAUCGGCCACACUGGGACGGAGACACGGCCCAGACUCCUACGGGAGGCAGCAGUAGGGAAUCUUCGGCAAUGGGGGCAACCCUGACCGAGCAACGCCGCGUGAGUGAAGAAGGGUGUCGGAUCGUAAAGCUCUGUUGUAAGUCAAGAACGAGGGUGAGAGUGGAAAGUUCACACUGUGACGGUAGCUUACCAGAAAGGGACGGCUAACUACGUG